AAGACUGUGCCCUCCAGCCAGCCUCGGCUCAGGAGAGAGCCCUCCAGCCACGUCACAUCCUGAAAGGAGCACAACCCAGCCAGCCCAGGGGAAGGACACCAGCGUCCCCGCAGCGUGCCCUCAGAAUGUGCAUUGACAGCUGAAACUCGGGCACAGAUGAGCUCCCAGUGCUCCGUGCCCUACCUGGGUGGCUUGCUCCUGGUCAAGUCUCAGCUCGCAGUCAUCUGCACAGAGCUUAGCCAGAGGCUGCCCACACUGGUUUGGCACCAACCAAGCUGGAAAGCAGGUUUGGCCACUUUUCUUUGUCUUCCCCCCCUCCCCCCUUUUCCCUUUCAGUUCACCUCCCUCUCUCCCUCCCUGCCUGUCCCCCUUUCUUCCUUCCUUCCUGCUCACCUUCUUUACUCCUUGCUCUCCAUUUCUGGGGAAGAGGAGACCCAGAAGGUCCUGCAGAGGGCUCUUCUCUGAGACGGAACCCCUGCAGCCCGCCCUGGGUUUGAUCAGCACUUGAAGUGGCUGCAAAUACUCUCACUUCUCAUCUAAAUCCGUAUCGAUCUCUCCCAAUGGGAAGCAGGCCACCCAAAUAAAUUAUAUAAAUAGAGUUAAUCAGGAUGGAGCCGGGGCCCAGGAGGGAUCGGUGCAGGCACAACAGAUUUUGCUGAUGUGCAAAAGCUGCUGGAAUGAAGUACGCCUGCUCCGGAGAGCGGAAAACCAACAAAGGCCAGGCCCCGUGAAGUCGGGAUAGCUGAGAGGCCAACCAGGUCUCCUGGGGCAGAACUGCCCCGCGGCCAGGAGACCGGAGGUGGGAGCCCAGGAGUCCUGACCGCCUGCCUCCCUGAGAACGAGCUGUGCAAAUCCUCUCUCUCCGAGGGAGGGAAGUCUGCUUCUGGUGGAUGUAUGGGUUCUCUUUGACUCCGGCAGUUUCAAAAUCAGCGGCUCCGGGGGGCAGCAGGAAGGAGUCUGGGUGACAUUGGCCUUUGGGGUUUGUGCCUUGUGGUAGGCAUCUGGGGCUUUUGUUUUAUUUUUUCCAAUUAUGAUUUAAGGAACCAUCAUGUGUGAGGCAGGGUGGGAGGUAGACAUGUGAGGCGGGUUCGGUCAGGGGUGGGUGCAGGGCUGGAUCACAGCUAUAGGACAUAAAUGUUUUGUCUGGCCAACACUAAUUUUUGUUGACUUAAGUGACUUGGUUGCCAACAUUUAAGCCAUUAGGAUGUUUUACAUAAAAUCAUGGGUUUCUGGCUUCACUGAGGACAUCAGCUGGUCAGGUAAGUCUGGGCUGGCUCUCCCAGGUGGCCACAGCUGGAGCUGGACAAUGGCUGCCCUCCUCAGCGGGGCCUGACCUUUCUAGUGUGACCAGUUUGUCACCUGGAAGGAUCAUCCAAGUACUUCUUUCUGACAUUUGAGGUUCUGAGAUGGUUUUAGACCAGUCGUCCCAUUUCUUUUCAUACCCACUUAUCAGGAACAAUAGAGACUCAGUCAUGGCUUGGCCCAAAUUCUCUCUUUACAAAAACUGUAACAAGUUGGUAGCAUAAAUAGGGAAAAAACCCAACAUGGUCUUAUGUUAACUCUCAGGAACUAGAGCACAUCUUACAUUCCCUUCUGGGGAAGGGCUAUUUCCAAGGACGUGGCCUGCAGAGGGGGGACUUAUUCUACGCUGUGAUCCACUCAAGGUGCUCAUGUUGGGGAUUCAGGUCUGAAGGUGAUGGGUAUUCUCAGGUGGCAGGAUGGAGUGUUCUGUCUCAAAUUGCUUUUCACAGUUGGAUGCCAAUUUCUCUUAUGACCAGUUUUAAGAAGUCUGGCUUCAAAAACAAAAAAAAAUUAUUUUCUUGACUGUUAAAAAAAUAUGGCAUUAUCCCCCAAUCUUUCUGAAGUGGGUGUUAUUUAUAAGCUUACAAAUAGAAAAAAGAGAGAGAGAGAGAGAGAGAGAGAGAGAGAGAGAGAGAGAGAGAGAUAUCUGUGAUCAUUUACUUCUCUCCAGUGUUAACUGCCAGAAACACACAGACUGGUCCCCAAAGCUCUCAGGUGACCCACAGCUACGAUAUCACCACAAAGCACAGAUGUGCCCACAGAGGAGGUGCCUGUUACAACCCUUCCAACACAAGAAAAAGAGCCAGGGCUACACAGAGAGCCUGGAGCCACCUACAUGUACAUGCUUAAAAUGGAAGAUUUAAAAUAAACAUCCAGAUUCCUAGCUUCUCCUGAAAAAUUGUGGACCCGAAAGCAUGGAGCCCCCACACCCUCGUGGCUACCACUGGCUGUGCCUGGGUGGUCUCUGCUGCCCUUAGAGAGAGUGCCCUCCCAGCCACCCUGUCACAUUCUCCAGGCUCUGAUCACACAGUCACGCAACCCCUUGGUCGCCCCUGGGGCCUUGGAUUGGCAUUCCCUCUCCUACCUUUCAAGAACACGAGAUGGUCCCAGGGAGAGGUGCAGAAAAAUGUGGGUGAAGGUGUGCAGGUGGGACCCUGGGGUAUUACAGGCGGCAAGUGAGAACCCUGGGGUGUGUGCAGGACAGAGCAAGUGGUUUCCUGGGCCAUCGGGGCCUGCAAAGCAGGACAGAGAGAGAGAGAGCAAAAAUGACGCUGGAGAAGUCACAAGGGCCCUACCGCACAUGGGGGUCCUGUGUGCCAUGCACAGGACCCUGUCCUGAACCCGGAGGGCAAUGGCGAGCCUCAGAGCUCUGUGCCGGGAACAUGGUGAUGUGCGAGUCUGGGGAACCCGCGGUGGAGAGAAUACAAUCAUCAGAGGUCAUGAAAGGCUGGGAGAGUGCCCGGGUCUCGGGGAGAGGGAGGGGGCUGGUUAUCUUUAGUUCGCAUCCAGAGUAAACGUUUCCCAGUGAUUUCUAGGUGACAGAUGACGCCUCCAGGGUCAGUUACCUCUCGGACUGACUGAGAGGCGCCAGGACAGCCCUCUAGGCUUCCCAGGGCCGAGUUAGGCCCGGGUCACGGGGUAAAAGCGAAGACCCUGUAGCCUGUGCAGUGCUUUCUGCAAAGCACACGUAGGAAUUUAGACUUUCUCAGCAGUAAUUACACCAUAACGCCCAGGUGCCCCCGGGUGCACUCAGAGAAUUAAUGGGCCUACCAGUCUCAUUUACUUCUUAGGGUCCCUGGGUCCCCUUCCACAAAUGAGCCUUCUCAGUGCACGAACGAGGCCCUGGAGGAUGAGAAGAGUGAUUGCUGCUCUCAAAGGUGAGGCCAAGAUGAAUGCCAGCCCCUGGAGGCCAGCCCCGACCCCCCCGACAGGGAGAUGCUCCGCAGUGACCGCGGCAGAAGGCGCUCGCACACUGAGCACAUGAUUCCAAGCAAAUGAGCGAACCCAGCGAUUAUUUCCACCCAGAAGUUGGUAAUGAACAGGCCCGUUAUUUAUUCAUUCAUUAAAUGAAGGCAAACAAGCCACCAAAGAGGAAGCCGUCUGGCCACGCUUUUAAUGAAUCUGCCCCAUUUCUGAGUGAAAUGUGGGCCAUGCAGAUGAGACGCCCAACUCGAGAAAUAUAUGACCCACUCAGGCUGCCACCCGCCCCGGCUUAAUUACAGAGAAUCAACAGCCCUGGCUUGCAGAGGACCAUGAUGGAAAUCAAACAGAGAAACUGAAAUACAGACUCCCAGGCAGGUGGCCUGACCUCGGAAAGCCCAGGGACCCCAUGGGUCUGUCUGCAGGACUGUGCCCGGGGCGUUCCAGAAAUCAGUGACACCAGAGGUGGCUGAGCUAGGUGAGGGAACAGAUGUACUUGAGGGACAUCAAACCCUUCUGAUGACCCUUGGGUGAUUCCUGAAUGCAUUACAGCUUUCAUUUAUCCAUGGGUUCGUCCACUCGGAGCAUUUAUUGAGUGCCUCCUGUAUCCCAGGUACUGUAUCAGAGGUCUGAAAAUACUAAGCAAAACUAGAUAUCAUUUCCCUUCUCUCACUCCUUUUUCCUAUAAUUUUUUAGUUAUAGAUGGACACAGCAUCUUUAUUUAUUUUUAUGUGGUGCUGAGGAUCGAACCCGGUGCCUCGCACAUGCUAGGAGAACGCUCUACCACUGAGCCCCAGCCCCAGCCCCCAUUCAUCACUCUUAAGUUGUAGUAGAGGAGAUGAUUAUGAAGCAGAUAGACACGCACGCACGCACACGCACACACGCACGCACACGCACACACACGCACGCACACACACGCACGCGCACGCACACGCACACACGCACGCACACACACACACAUGCACACGCACACACACACGCACACACUCGUAAUUAUAAAUCGGGAUGAGAACUCAGAGGAGGAGUUAGAAAGUGUCUUGCAAUCAAGUGACAAGGAGCCUUGGACUUGUUGGGGAAUCGAGGCAGGUGCCCUGGGAGGCCAGGUCUUGACUGGAUGAGGACAGGAGGAGGGGCAGAGGCAGGAGAAACCACGCGGGCGGCAGCACCUGAGUCCGAGAUGAGCCAAGCUCUGCAGCCAGAGAGGAGGCCCGGGCUGGUGUCCACGGGACCCUCAGAGGGCACUGAGUGGGACCGGUACAGGACUCCUAAAGGAAACCCUGUGGGCAGAUAACCAUCAUGAGAGCAGAAGGCUGGGGUGAGCCCACGGGUGUGGACAUCAGAGAGACCCUCGCUUUCUUCCAUGAGCUUCUGAAAAGGGGGGCUGAGCUUGAGUCGGCCCCCUGGAUGCUCUAGGAACAGGAUCCCUGGAUUUACUUAACCCUUCCUGACUUGAGGGGCUGCGCACACCAUGGCUGCACCCAGUGUCUUUAAGACCACUCAGUUCCCAGAAGAGUUCCCCCACCUCUCCCUGCUGUGAGACCACCAACCCCCAGGGCAGGGACCCCGGAGGCUUGGUCCUACCACUGGUGUGACCUUGCACAGGUCACUGAAUCUCACUGCAUCUCAAUCUCCUUGUGUGGCUGUAGUGCCUGCGUUAGAGCGUAGGGCUACCGUCAAGAGGGGAGGUGUGGAAGGUCUGUCCCACAGCAGGAGAGACAUAAAUACUUAAUACUACCUAGGGAGCUCCUCUCUUUCCCAUUUCAGGCUAAGGGACAAGAAAGAAAGAUUAGCAUUAAAGUGCCUGGGCGGGCAUGUGUGUGCUCCGUGUUGUUAGGCACACUUGAGACGUGCUCCUGAGACAGGAAUUGUAUUAGUCUCUUUUGUGUUGCUUUAACAAAAUACCUGAGGCUGGGUGCUUUAUAAAGUAAAGAGGUUUAUUUUACUUAUGACUGUGGUGGCUGGAGGGUCCAAAUAGCAUGGUGCCAUCAUCCUGGCAAGGAACCCCCAUUACCUACAGUGGAGAAUGGAAGGAGAGCUGACUGUGGGCAGAAGGGCUCAGGAAAAAUAAGACAAAUCUCAAAAGGUGGAAUACUGUACAAUUCAUUUAUAGGGCAUUCUUGAAAUAGCAAAAAUAUAGAGAUAGGGAAUAGUUUAGAGGUUACCAGGCAUUAUUAAGCAGAGCAAAGAGAGUUUGCAGUGUGUAUAAGAGGUGGAGAUAUCACUCACACACACACACACACACACACACACAAAUACACACACACACACACACACACCAUCUCACUGCACUACCAGAAUGGCUAAAAUUUAAAAGUCUGACAACAUUAAGUGUUGGCAAGGAUGUGGAGCUUGCAGGACUCUCCACUGUUGCUGGGAGUGUUCAUGGGUACAAACACUUUGGAAAGAUGUUUGAUACUUAGUUUCUACCAAGGCUGGAAAUAUACUCACCUUAUGAUCCAGCAUUUCCACUCCCAGGGUUAUAAUCCAACAGGAAAACACACACGACCACCACAAGAUGCGCAUAAGAUUCUCUACAGCCGUACAUUUUAUAUAAGCUCCAAACUUGAAACUGCCAGCUGCCCACUGGUGGUAGAAUAAAUCAGUUAUGGUACCUUCCCCGUCCCCUUGUCUUGGGAGUUUGAGCUGCUGUAACAAAACACCAGAGGCUGGAGGCUCAAUAACAACAUUAAUGUCCCACGGUUCUGGAGGCUGAAAGUCCAAAACCAAGGUGCCGGUGGAUUUGGUAUCUGGUAAGGGCUGGACUCCUGUUUGCAGACAACUGUCUUCCCAUUAGAUCCAAUGGCUUUUUCUUGGUGCCUGCGUUAGAAGAAGGAGGGAAGCCGAGAGGGAAAGAGACCUUUGCUUCUUCCUCUUUUCAGGAAGGCUUUAGCCCACAGCCCGUGGGAAGGCCACCCCCAUGACUUCAUCAAACCCUAAGCACUUGCCAAAGAUCCCACCUCCAGGCGCCAUCCCGUUGAGGAUCAGGGAUUCAACACACGAACGUGGGGGAAACAAGCAUUUGGUCCAUGACAGCCACCAUAGAACACACACACACAGCCAUGAGAACAAAGGGGAGCACUGUGCACCCCAGGAUGGAUUUUGGCAUCCUCAGCUGACCAGAAGGAAGCAGGCACAAAGACAGACCGCGGCAAGGCUCAGAGCAGACCUGGUCCAGGCUCUCAGAAGUCAGCACAGAGGCCCACACUGGGGGAGGAGGACCCACCGGGAAGGGCACGAGGGGGGCUUGUGGGGUUUCUGCCUUGCUCUGUGUCCCGAC
rnacentral:lncRNA from 1 species